UGGGGAUGACGUCAAAUCAUCAUGCCCCUUAUGACCUGGGCUACAAACGUGAUGCAAUGGCUGAAACAAAGGGCAGCGAAGCAGUGAUGUGGAGCGAAACCCAAAAAAGCAGUCUCAGUUCGGAUUGAAGUCUGCAACUCGACUUCAUGAAGUCGGAAUCGCUAGUAAUCGCGGAUCAGAACGCCGCGGUGAAUACGUUCUCGGGGUUU
rnacentral:rRNA from 1 species